GACGAACGCUGGCGGCGGGCUUAACACAUGCAAGUCGAACGGCAAGGCCCUGCUUGUGUGGGGUGCUCGAGUGGCGAACGGGUGAGUAACACGUGAGUAACCUGCCCUUGACUUUGGGAUAACUUCAGGAAACUGGGGCUAAUACCGGAUAGGAGCUCCUGCUGCAGGGUGGGGGUUGGAAAGUUUCGGCGGGUGGGGAUGGACUCGCGGCUUAUCGGCUUGUUGGUGGGGUAGUGGCUUACCAAGGCUUUGACGGGUAGCCGGCCUGAGAGGGGGACCGGCCACAUGGGGCCUGAGAUACGGCCCAGACUCCUACGGGAGGCAGCAGUGGGGAAUCUUGCCCAGUGGGCGGACGCCUGAUGCAGCAACGCCGCGUGCGGGAUGACGGCCUUCGGGUUGUAAACCGCUUUCGCCUGUGACGAAGCGUGAGUGACGGUAAUGGGUAAAGAAGCACCGGCUAACUACGUG
rnacentral:rRNA from 1 species